GGUUGAGUGGGAAAACUGUUAACUUCUCUGUUCUAAAGUUUGUUUUAGCUGAGGAAACACACAUAAUCACAAUGGUAAAAAUACAUAUAAUAAAGGAUCUAAAUAGUAAUUGCUUUGAAGGGGCUCUCAGGGUUUGUCACAUUGUGGUCACUCUGUCCACCGUUCUGGGGUCCACAGCCUGAUUGGCUGAUUGGCAGGGGGCAGGGUCAUAAGCAACGGUUUCUAGAUGUGUUGCAUUCUGGGUAGAGGUUAUAUUUUCCUCAUCCCUAACAUCAUCAUCAACCUGUGAGGAAGAGAGGACUCCUUAGGUACAGAGACACACACAUGUACAGAUGUUAUUCCCAUUCAAAAUCAAAUUUUUCCUGGCACUUGCAUGUAACCCAUCCCAAAAAAACAUAUCUGUUACCCUAAACAUAAUGUCUAAUGGAGAAUGAGCCUUUUUAGCCGUGGGCACUGAAUGUCCAGGAUAGGGUCUAACACAUGGAGGCGGAGCUACAGGUCAGGGUCUAAUACAUGGAGGCGGAGCUACGGGUCAGUUACUAACACACAGACGUGGAGUGACAUGUCAGGCUCACACAUAGAGGUGGAGCUACAGCUCA
ensembl:lncRNA